GGAGCUUGCAGUGAGCCGAGAUUGUGCCACUUUACUCCAGCCUGGGCAACAGAGCGAGACUCCAUCUAAAAAAAAAAAAAGAAAAGAACUAAACAGGACAGGUGCAAUGGCUUAGGCCUGUAAUCCUAGCACUUUGGGAGGCUGAGGCAGGUGGAUCACUUGAGUCUAGCAGUUUGAGACCAGCCUAACAACAUGGUGAAACCUGGUCUCUACAAAAAAUACAGAAAUUAGCUGAGCGUGGUGGUACGUACCUGUAAUCCUAGCUACUCAAGAGGCCGAGGUGGAAGGAUCGCUUGAGUCUCAGAGGUGGAUGUUGCAGCAAGCUGAGAUGGUACCACUGCACUCCAGCCUAGGUGACAGAGCAAGACCUUGUCUCAAAAAAAAAAAAAAAAGAGCUAGAGCAUACUGGCUCAUGUCUGUAAUCCCAACACUUUGGGAGGCCAAGGAGGGAGGAUCACUUAAGCCCAGCAGUUCAAGUCCAGCCUGGGAAACAUAGGGAGAACCUGUCUCUACAAAAAAGAAAAAAAACCAUAGCCAGGCAUGUAGUCCCAGCUACUUGGGAGGCUGAGGUGGGAAGAUUACUUGAGCCCAGGAGUUCCAGACCAGCCUGGGCAACAGACCUCAAGACCUUGUCUCAAAAAAUAUAAAAAUAAAAAAAGGACUAUUACAAGUCAACUCUAAAAGGAUAUCCAAUAAAAAAUGGACAAAAGAUGUAAACAAACACUUCAUAAAAGAAAAUAUGCAAAUGGUCAAUAAGUACAUGAAAAGAUGUUAUACAUCAUUAAUAAUCAAAUUAAACCACAACAAGAUAGUAUUAUAUACCCACUAAAGUGGCUAAAGCAAAAAAAACUUACAACACUAAGUGUUGACAUGCACAUAGAACAAUGAGAUGCACACACAUUGCUGUUAAUAAUGGAAAACAGGCUGGGCAUGAGCCACUGUGCCCCGCCUACCCUGUCUCUCAACAACAACAACAAAAAAAAAAAAAAAAAAAAAAUUCAGCAGACUAGCUGUGUGGCUUCUAACCUCUUUGACCUUCCAUUUCUGUCUGUCUGAAGCGGCGACAAUAAUACCUUCUUCACAGGGUUGCUGUGAGGAAUUAGAAGAGAUAAAAAAUGUAUGGCAGCUAGAGGUGUGGACUCAAUAAAUGUCAGCAGCCUACCCCUGUCCCCAUGAGGACCCAGAGCCAAGUCAUAAAGCUUGAGCUAUCCACCAGCUGGGGACAAUGCAGGCUGCUCCUGGGAUCUGUUUAUAGAAGAUGAUGUGUGCUGCCAUUUCCAGCUCUACUGGUCCUUGUGGAAAAAAUUAGUGGUAUUGGUAACAAUUUCCUUGGGCCAAAAGAGAAUCAUACCACG
rnacentral:lncRNA from 1 species